CUGUCUCAGUUCUGCCUCCCCAUUGGCUGCCUUCCCAGGGGUGGGCGGGUUCGUUUCUAGAGUCACCGUGGCUCUCUAGCGCCCUUCAGAGGCAGAGAGUGGCAUCUCUCUUUCUUCCCAGGUUUUCCCCAGACAGACUCGAAUACAGGACUACAAUCCCCAUGAGCCUUUGCUCCACUUCCCCAGAAUGCCUUGUAAUCUCACCUGGGCCGAGAUCGAGAAGAUAUUUAAGCAAAGGCUUUUGAAGGGCUCGGGGCUUUUGGACUUCCGUUUUUGGAGCAGAGGCGUCUCUUCCAUGAUGACCUUUAGCAUCCUCCUCCAGAGAGAAUUCCAGCAUGUUCAGCUUGGCACUACCCAAGAGGAUGGUCUGCUAUUGGAAGAGAAUCAUGCUUCUGAUGAUUUUAGCAUUUUCUGGGGUGUAUUUUGGGUCAGUCUCAGCCCUGGUAUGCCAUCAUUGCGACUUAAGUGUGGAUUGUGUCAACCCAGAAACCUGUAAUGAAGGACAAUUUGUCUGUAUCUUGGACUUAAUUAAAGUUCCAAACUAUACCUCAGUUCAAAAGAUAUGCUUCUCAAGUUGUAAGGACUACCUUUUAUUAGAGAAUCCACAAAAAAAAGGCCGCAUUUCAAGCAAAAGCAAUGAAUCCCAUUGGCUCGAUCAACACAAUCUGCGUGCUGACUACCAUCAUCAUAAUGAAGUUGGAGUACACAAAGAAAAGGUCUCCCUGGAGCAUCUCAUUGUGUGCUGUGACAAAGACCUGUGUAACCAGGCCAGGAUCAGGAGUCCAGAAGGCUUAAUUCUUCUCUUUGGGCUCCUACUCAACUUCCUCCCCUCUUCAAUUCUGUGACAUUGUUAGACCCUUCUAAGACAAUUUUCUCAUAUUAAGAUCUCAUAGAAUAUUCAUAGUAAUUAAAAGUAAGUCGAAUUGACUUAUGCUGGACUUACACUCCGAUUUUGGUUUCUAAAUGUAUUUCUGGAAGGUUUAUCAGAGGACUUACCUGCUCAACUUGCCGAGCUGACAGAUUGGUCUUGUUUACCCUCUGAUUGUAUAUCAUCAGCUGGGGAUGAAUUGGUUGGCUCAGUAAGUCCUCUGGGCUAGAGCAGUUUGAUCCUUAAUGCUAGACCCCUAAAAGAGAGUCUAUGGGGCAGAUUUAUCUCUCCAUUUCCCCUUUUACAACAUAUAUGUCAGUACUCCUUG
rnacentral:lncRNA from 1 species